UACGAAGGGGGCUAGCGUUGUUCGGAUUUACUGGGCGUAAAGCGCGUGUAGGCGGGGCGUUAAGUUGGGGGUGAAAUCCCGAGGCUCAACCUCGGAACUGCCUUCAAAACUGGCGACCUGGAGCAAAGAAGAGGCGAGUGGAAUUGCGAGUGUAGAGGUGAAAUUCGUAGAUAUUCGCAGGAACACCAGUGGCGAAGGCGACUCGCUGGUCUUUUGCUGACGCUGAGACGCGAAAGCUAGGGGAGCAAACGGG
rnacentral:rRNA from 1 species